CAAAUAGUUCAUCUGUGACUGUAUCACGGACGCAUGCCUGGGGCGACACUGGAGGGACUCCCUUGGUGGCCACAGAUGACGACGUUCUCUGAUCCAUCUCCUCAUCAUCUCUAAAGUCAAUAUAAUGCCAGAAACUCUUCUAUACUGCCCUCUGCCUCGUACACCUCCUCUUCCUCAGUGAGGCAGACUGAAUGUUCAGAGCGUGGAGAACUGAGGCUCAGGACAGACUGCUCAGACCAAAGCCCUGCAGCAAGACCAUGGCCUGCUACAUACAGCCUGCAGGCAGAUGAAGAUAGCGUAAGAGAUGAGGAAAAAUUAGCUAUUAACCACCUAGACAAAUUUGAAUGAUAAAAAAUGCCAAGUAAAUACAAAUUUUGGAGGAACAGGCAGGAUUAUCUACUCUCAAACGCUGGGGGUAUGUCCGCUUCCGAUGCUGAAACCACACCCACUCAUGGGAAAGUUGCCGUCUCAUUCAACCUCAACUGAUGCUUACAAUUGUGUUGAGCAAGCUUUUUUUAAGCAAGGGGCUGAAGGGAUGUAAGAAGUUCUGGCAGUGCCUUCUUUUCUGCAUAUGUACUGAACCCCCUCCUGUUUUGGAGGCUCCAACUGGUUCCCUAAAAUUCUGAGAUGAGGGGUGUGGCUGUUCCACUCUUCACACUCCUUCUGCAGGGACUCUGAGCGGCUGGUGACUCUUCCCUCGUACAGGAGCUCAUCCACCGAGUUAAACAGCUGACGCACACGCUGUGUGUUCACCCGCUCAAACUCCUGCAUGCAGAGAAGAUACAAAUGUGCACCCGUUAUUAUAUUCAGAAUUUUCCUAUUCCUGAUGAAUAGAUCUGGUUAUACAAACAUCUGAAAUAUAGACAUAUGCAAAGAGAUGUUACAUCAUAUCUCCAGGAGCAGAUGGAGCUGUGCUCUGUGGAGAGACCAGGACCUGUGGCUGGGCUGCCAGAGCGAGGGGGGAGGUUACUAAUGCCACCAGCAGAUGAAUAACCACAUGAUGAGAUGCUACAUAUGUAAAAUAAUAAAUACACAUUACUUUACUGUAAUUGGAUACUGUACAUGAAUGAACACUAUGAUUAGGUGUUACCUGAGGCCACCGGAUGGCACCCUUUUGAGAGCUUUGUUAAAAGGUGAAGUUACUAGGUUCAUGCCUUUUUCAGGUUCCUUGAGCAGCUUUUUCCUUAAGCAUGAAAGGGGAACGUAAUAUUAAUAAAAAGUGCAAUAUACAUUCAGAGAGUGUGAUGAGCUAACAAGUGCUAUAAAGACUGCAAUGGUUCAUCUUUAAGACAAGAUGUCAUCUGUAAGACUGGUAAAGCUGGUCUCUACUUGUACAGCACAGGUAAAAAUAUUGGCAUAACGUGCACAGC